rnacentral:tRNA from 4 species
GCCCCUGUAGCUCAGUGGAUAGAGUACCAGCCUCCGAAGCUGGGUGCGCCGGUUCGAUUCCGGCCAGGGGCACAA